GACGAACGCUGGCGGCGUGCUUAACACAUGCAAGUCGAACGGAAAGGCCCUGCUUUUGUGGGGUGCUCGAGUGGCGAACGGGUGAGUAACACGUGAGUAACCUGCCCUUGACUUUGGGAUAACUUCAGGAAACUGGGGCUAAUACCGGAUAGGAGCUCCUGCUGCAUGGUGGGGGUUGGAAAGUUUCGGCGGUUGGGAUGGACUCGCGGCUUAUCAGCUUGUUGGUGGGGUAGUGGCUUACCAAGGCUUUGACGGGUAGCCGGCCUGAGAGGGUGACCGGCCACAUUGGGACUGAGAUACGGCCCAGACUCCUACGGGAGGCAGCAGUGGGGAAUAUUGCACAAUGGGCGGAAGCCUGAUGCAGCAACGCCGCGUGCGGGAUGACGGCCUUCGGGUCGUAAACCGCUUUCGCCUGUGACGAAGCGUGAGUGACGGUAAUGGGUAAAGAAGCACCGGCUAACUACGUG
rnacentral:rRNA from 1 species